rnacentral:lncRNA from 1 species
AGUGCAUUGAGUGCAAAUCCUGCAGCCUUUGUGGGACCUCUGAGAAUGAUGACCAGCUGCUCUUCUGUGAUGACUGUGACCGUGGCUAUCACAUGUAUUGCUUGAAUCCACCAGUCUUUGAGCCCCCAGAAGGGAGCUGGAGUUGUCAUUUGUGCCGGGAGCUGCUCAGAGAAAGAGCAUCAGCUUUUGGCUUCCAGGCCUGAGGAGCUCCAGCAGUCAAGACACACUUUUCUCCUGGUGUUGCCAUACCAGCACACAAUUCCCAUCCAGAACGCAAAGACACAACCCACAUCAAAACGAAUGGACACUCAAAUACAGGAAGAGGUAUCUGUGGUAUUCACUGUCACUAAGGCCGUACCUCCUGAGCUCUACUACAAGGAUCGUGUACUUGCCCAGUGCUCCAGAUGAAAUCUCUUCACUGCUACGCAUGGUUGCUGCUUGCCUUUACAGGCUCACAUGCAUUAUAGA